CCUACGGGUGGCAGCAGUGGGGAAUAUUGGGCAAUGGGCGCAAGCCUGACCCAGCAACGCCGCGUGAAGGAAGAAGGCUUUCGGGUUGUAAACUUCUUGUGGCAGGGAAGAGGAGAAGACGGGACCGGACGAAUAAGCCAAGGCUAACUACGUGCCAGCAGCCGCGGCAAUACGGAGGUGGCAAGCGUUGUCCGGAUUUACUGGGUGUAAAGGGCGUGUAGCCGGGUUGACAAGUCAGAUGUGAAAGCCUGCGGCUUACCCGCAGAACUGCCUUUGAAACUGUUGAUCUUGAGUGCUGGGGCGGCAGGCGGAAUUCCUGGUGUAGCGGUGAAAUGCGUAGAUAUUAGGCGGAACACCAGUGGCGAAGGCGGUCUGCUGGACCGCAACUGACGGUGAGGCGCGAACGCGUGGGUAGCAAACAGGAUUAGCUACCCUUGUAGUC
rnacentral:rRNA from 1 species